rnacentral:lncRNA from 1 species
GAUAUCAAGUUUAGUAUAAAUUUUCUCUACUAAAUGCUCAUGUGCUAUGACUAGUGUAAUGUUUUAUUACUACUUAAAAACACUAAGAGAAUACCACUAUAUAUUUUGGCAGUGGAUUCUCUACUGAUUAUCGCAAGAAUAAAAAACAUUUCUGGUUACUAAAUGAGGCCUAAGUUUCCACCUCAAACUGUAAAAUGGCACGAACUGCCUCUAUUAACUGUCAAAUACCUUUUGUCAAAAAAAAAAAGAACCUCUUGAGAAUCCCCCUAUAUAUACGUAUCUUACCUGCCUGUGCUUGACCCCGACAAUAUUAGGCACUAACCCCAGUAGAUGGGCAGCACAUAGCCCAACUCUCUAGUCAGCUUCUCGCGCGGUUGGCGUCACGACGUGCCGGCGACGAGCGACCCAGCGUCGCACACAUCCAUCGGCAUCCAGCGUCGCACUUGCACUCACGCCUCACAACCUGAGCC